rnacentral:rRNA from 1 species
CAGUCGAGGGGCAGCAUAUAGAUUGCUUGCAAUUUAUGAUGGCGACCGGCGCACGGGUGAGUAACGCGUAUCCAACCUACCCAUUACUAGGGAAUAACCCAGCGAAAGUUGGCCUAAUGCCCUAUGUAGUCGUUUGAUCGCCUGAGAUUUCGACGAAAGAUUUAUCGGUAUUGGAUGGGGAUGCGUCUGAUUAGCUUGUUGGCGGGGUAAAGGCCCACCAAGGCAACGAUCAGUAGGGGUUCUGAGAGGAAGGUCCCCCACAUUGGAACUGAGACACGGUCCAAACUCCUACGGGAGGCAGCAGUGAGGAAUAUUGGUCAAUGGGCGAGAGCCUGAACCAGCCAAGUAGCGUGCAGGAUGACGGCCCUAUGGGUUGUAAACUGCUUUUAUAUGGGAAUAAAGUGAGGGACGUGUCCCUUAUUGCAUGUACCAUACGAAUAAGGACCGGCUAAUUCCGUGCCAGCAGCCGCGGUAAUACGGAAGGUCCAGGCGUUAUCCGGAUUUAUUGGGUUUAAAGGGAGCGUAGGCUGUUUGUUAAGCGUGUUGUGAAAUGUAGGAGCUCAACUUUUAGAUUGCAGCGCGAACUGGCAGACUUGAGUGCGCACAACGUAGGCGGAAUUCAUGGUGUAGCGGUGAAAUGCUUAGAUAUCAUGACGAACUCCGAUUGCGAAGGCAGCUUACGGGAGCGCAACUGACG